rnacentral:rRNA from 1 species
ACCUGAAACCGUGUACGUACAAGCAGUGGGAGCACCCUUCGGGGUGUGACUGCGUACCUUUUGUAUAAUGGGUCAGCGACUUAUAUUCUGUAGCAAGGUUAACCGUAUAGGGGAGCCGGAGGGAAACCGAGUCUUAAUUGGGCGUUAAGUUGCAGGGUAUAGACCCGAAACCCGGUGAUCUAGCCAUGGGCAGGUUGAAGGUUGGGUAACACUAACUGGAGGACCGAACCGACUAAUGUUGAAAAAUUAGCGGAUGACCUGUGGCUGGGGGUGAAAGGCCAAUCAAACCGGGAGAUAGCUGGUUCUCCCCGAAAGCUAUUUAGGUAGCGCCUCGUGAAUUCAUCUCCGGGGGUAGAGCACUGUUUCGGCUAGGGGGCCAUCCCGGCUUACCAACCCGAUGCAAACUGCGAAUACCGGAGAAUGUUAUCACGGGAGACACACGGCGGGUGCUAACGUCCGUCGUGAAGAGGGAAACAACCCAGACCGCCAGCUAAGGUCCCAAAGUCAUGGUUAAGUGGGAAACGAUGUGGGAAGGCCCAGACAGCCAGGAUGUUGGCUUAGAAGCAGCCAUCAUUUAAAGAAAGCGUAAUAGCUCACUGGUCGAGUCGGCCUGCGCGGAAGAUGUAACGGGGCUAAACCAUGCACCGAAGCUGCGGCAGCGAACGUAUCACCCAAGACAACUUUACGGAGUUGACGAUUGACGGAGCGAAGCGACGUCAAAGCGUUCAUUAAAGUCGAGUUGGCUUAGGGAUACGUUCGUUGGGUAGGGGAGCGUUCUGUAAGCCUGUGAAGGUGUGUCGUGAGGCAUGCUGGAGGUAUCAGAAGUGCGAAUGCUGACAUAAGUAACGAUAAAGCGGGUGAAAAGCCCGCUCGCCGGAAGACCAAGGGUUCCUGUCCAACGUUAAUCGGGGCAGGGUGAGUCGACCCCUAAGGCGAGGCCGAAAGGCGUAGUCGAUGGGAAACGGGUUAAUAUUCCCGUACUUGGUGUUACUGCGAAGGGGGGACGGAGAAGGCUAUGUUGGCCGGGCGACGGUUGUCCCGGUUUAAGCGUGUAGGUGUGUGUUCCAGGUAAAUCCGGUUCACUUUAACACUGAGGCGUGACGACGAGGCACUACGGUGCUGAAGCAACAAAUGCCCUGCUUCCAGGAAAAGCCUCUAAGCAUCAGGUAACAUCAAAUCGUACCCCAAACCGACACAGGUGGUCAGGUAGAGAAUACCAAGGCGCUUGAGAGAACUCGGGUGAAGGAACUAGGCAAAAUGGUGCCGUAACUUCGGGAGAAGGCACGCUGACACGUAGGUGAAGUGAUUUACUCAUGGAGCUGAAGUCAGUCGAAGAUACCAGCUGGCUGCAACUGUUUAUUAAAAACACAGCACUGUGCAAACACGAAAGUGGACGUAUACGGUGUGACGCCUGCCCGGUGCCGGAAGGUUAAUUGAUGGGGUCAGCGCAAGCGAAGCUCCUGAUCGAAGCCCCGGUAAACGGCGGCCGUAACUAUAACGGUCCUAAGGUAGCGAAAUUCCUUGUCGGGUAAGUUCCGACCUGCACGAAUGGCGUAAUGAUGGCCAGGCUGUCUCCACCCGAGACUCAGUGAAAUUGAACUCGCUGUGAAGAUGCAGUGUACCCGCGGCAAGACGGAAAGACCCCGUGAACCUUUACUAUAGCUUGACACUGAACAUUGAGCCUUGAUGUGUAGGAUAGGUGGGAGGCUUUGAAGUGUGGACGCCAGUCUGCAUGGAGCCGACCUUGAAAUACCACCCUUUAAUGUUUGAUGUUCUAACGUGGACCCGUAAUCCGGGUUGCGGACAGUGUCUGGUGGGUAGUUUGACUGGGGCGGUCUCCUCCUAAAGAGUAACGGAGGAGCACGAAGGUUGGCUAAUCCUGGUCGGACAUCAGGAGGUUAGUGCAAUGGCAUAAGCCAGCUUGACUGCGAGCGUGACGGCGCGAGCAGGUGCGAAAGCAGGUCAUAGUGAUCCGGUGGUUCUGAAUGGAAGGGCCAUCGCUCAACGGAUAAAAGGUACUCCGGGGAUAACAGGCUGAUACCGCCCAAGAGUUCAUAUCGACGGCGGUGUUUGGCACCUCGAUGUCGGCUCAUCACAUCCUGGGGCUGAAGUAGGUCCCAAGGGUAUGGCUGUUCGCCAUUUAAAGUGGUACGCGAGCUGGGUUUAGAACGUCGUGAGACAGUUCGGUCCCUAUCUGCCGUGGGCGCUGGAGAACUGAGGGGGGCUGCUCCUAGUACGAGAGGACCGGAGUGGACGCAUCACUGGUGUUCGGGUUGUCAUGCCAAUGGCACUGCCCGGUAGCUAAAUGCGGAAGAGAUAAGUGCUGAAAGCAUCUAAGCACGAAACUUGCCCCGAGAUGAGUUCUCCCUGAGACUUAG